rnacentral:rRNA from 1 species
GUUGCGGUUAAAAAGCUCGUAGUUGGAUUUCUGCGCGAAACGAACGGUCUACCUUAUGGGUUAGUAUCUGUCAGGUUCGCGCAUCCUCAUGAAGAACGUCGCUGCGAUUUAUUUCGUGGUACGGAAUUCAUGACUUUUACUUUGAGGAAAUUAGAGUGUUCACGGCAGGCAAACGUCUUGAAUAUGUUAGCAUGGAAUAAUAAUAUAGGACCUUGGUACUAUUUUGUUGGUUUCUAGAACUAAGGUAAUGAUUAAUAGGGACAGUUUGGGGGCAUUUGUAUUAACACGUCAGAGGUGGAAUUCUUGGAUUGUGUUACGACAAACUACUGCGAAAGCAUUUGCCAAGGAUGUUUUCAUUGAUCAAGAACGAAAGUAUGGGGAUCGAAAACGAUUAGAUACCGUUGUAGUCUAUACCAUAAACUAUGCCAACUAGAAAUCGGAGGGAUGUAAAAUUUUUGACUCCUUCGGCGUCUUAUGAGAAAUCAAAGUUUUUGGGUUCCGGGGGGAGUAUGGUCGCAAGGCUGAAACUUAAAGGAAUUGACGGAAGGGCACCACCAGGAGUGGAGCCUGCGGCUUAAUUUGACUCAACACGGGAAGACUUACCAGGUCCAGACAUAAGAAGGAUUGACAGAUUGAUAGCUCUUUCUUGAUUUUAUGGGUGGUGGUGCAUGGCCGUUCUUAGUUGGUGGAGUGAUUUGUCUGCUUAAUUGCGUUAACGAACGAGACCUUAAUCUGCUAAAUAGCCUAGCGUUACUCCGGUAAUACUACUGGCUUCUUAGAGAGACUUUCAGCUUC